AAGCCCUUCCCUGUAAGGUGCUACACUAGUUUAGAUGGAGCUGUGGUUAGGAAUAAGCUAGGGUGUAUUGCUACUGGGGUGCUGGGUGGCCUUAGGGCUUUAUAAGUGAAUUUUGGAAUACUUCAAUUAUCCUGUUUUUUUUUGCUGAGACUCUACCUGCAAUUUAUUGUCAACAGUAAAUUAAUCGAAAUUAAUGGAGCUGUACCAGGAAUUAAUUCUCUCCUAUGCUGUUUGAGGAGGAGGGACUAUCUCAUGUUUCUUAAUUGCUCCUUCUGGCUAAUGCAUUAGGCCCAAAUAGCUGAGUGGAGAGGCAGUUGUUUCCAAUCUUCUGCUGGAGUAAAAGUUGCUGUGACAUAGUUCUUUCAGGGAAGAAGUGGGUUUGGAGAAUGCCCUAAUGGGUGGAAAAACUAUAUAAGGUGCCUGGGAGUUCAGAUUCAAUGUCUGAAGAAAUCUUAUUCUCCAAGUUAAAUGAAAUUGGCUUUUGAAAGAACACUACCUAAAGGGCCAUAAACACAGAGCAAUGGUAAUUGGUUAAGCUGUGUGGGAAGUGUCCAGAGACCCAGGGACUGGUGCAUUUAGAACAAUGACACCCAGGAUCCCCCAAAACAGAGAGAGAGACAAAACAGCCUGUUACUGCAAACCAAGAGGUACAGCUCACCACACCUUACUUCAGGCUGGCUGACUGCAAACUGACUUUGAUUGUGGGCUUCUCUACAGAGUCCUCUAUCCUGCAAGCAGGACCAGGAAACCUCCCCGCGCUGCUCUGUGCUUAAGUUACA